rnacentral:lncRNA from 1 species
CCGACUAGGAAAGCGUGACAUGCUUUCAAUAUGCAUAAUACAUCCACUUUCAGCAUGCAUCUCCUUAUAAUAUUGUCUGCACAUCGCCAAAAAAGAUACAGCUCAUCCCAGAGGUAAUAAAUCACAUCAUGCAGAAACUUCUUCCUUUGAUGGAAAGAAAGGUUUUCUGGGAUGACCUCACUCACAAUAUAAUUUGCAUAAUCUGC